rnacentral:siRNA from 1 species
CAUCCAUCCGACGUCUCUCCCAU